GCGCCCAUAGCUCAGUGGAUAGAGCGCCGGACUACGAAUCCGUAGGCCGCAAGUUCGAAUCUUGCUGGGCGCACCA
rnacentral:tRNA from 2 species